GACGGGUGAGUAAUGCGUAGGAAUCUACCUAGUAGUAUGGAAUAGCCAUUAGAAAUGAUGGGUAAUACUGUAUAAUCCCUGCGGGGGAAAGAUUUAUCGCUAUUAGAUGAGCCUACGUUAGAUUAGCUAGUUGGUAAGGUAAUGGCUUACCAAGGCUAUGAUCUAUAGCUGGUCUGAGAGGACGAUCAGCCACACUGGAACUGAGAUACGGUCCAGACUCCUACGGGAGGCAGCAGUGGGGAAUAUUGGACAAUGGGCGAAAGCCUGAUCCAGCUAUGCCGCGUGAGUGAAGAAGGCCUUCGGGUUGUAAAACUCUUUCAAUAGGGAAGAUAAUGACGGUACCUAUA
rnacentral:rRNA from 1 species